rnacentral:rRNA from 5 species
UUAAAUUGAAGAGUUUGAUCAUGGCUCAGAUUGAACGCUGGCGGCAGGCCUAACACAUGCAAGUCGAACGGUAACAGGAAGCAGCUUGCUGCUUCGCUGACGAGUGGCGGACGGGUGAGUAAUGUCUGGGAAACUGCCUGAUGGAGGGGGAUAACUACUGGAAACGGUGGCUAAUACCGCAUAACGUCGCAAGACCAAAGAGGGGGACCUUCGGGCCUCUUGCCAUCAGAUGUGCCCAGAUGGGAUUAGCU